rnacentral:rRNA from 1 species
UACGGAGGGGGCUAGCGUUGUUCGGAAUUACUGGGCGUAAAGCGCACGUAGGCGGCUUUGUAAGUUAGAGGUGAAAAGCCCGGGGCUCAACUCCGGAAUUGCCUUUAAGACUGCAUCGCUAGAAUUGUGGAGAGGUAAGUGGAAUUCCGAGUGUAGAGGUGAAAUUCGUAGAUAUUUCGGAAGAACACCAGUGGCGAAGGCGACUUACUGGCUCGUUUCUGACGCUCAGGCGCG